UUUAUUAAUUCCCGUGGUAUGAAGGAACAGGAAACUUUUCACUUUCUGAAUUUGGCCACAAAUCUUUAUAGUACUUUGCCUAAGAUGUUUGUAACCUCCCCUAACGUCCAAUCAAGUUUUUGUUUCCUGAUCCUUCCACCACCACCCACUUUUUUCUCUCUAAAUUGAUUUGAUUUUUACACUCCACCGCCCUCGUACAACCACAGAUCACCUUCGCCUGUAUGCUUUUUCUCAUUACUCGAUCCGUCUACAUCUCAAUACUGGUCAAAGAUUGCUUCUACUCCGGCCGUUGCCAUAUCUUCCAUUGUUACGGACAAAUCGAGCGGAGGAAGGUGGUGAUGGGAACGUCGAGAUGUUUCCGUUAACAGUACCGAUGAAAGAAGCAUAUCCAUGGAUUUUUUGGAAAAAAAAUUAUUGUUAGAUUACGGUGUUAAUAACAAAAUAUCUUUUAUUGGUCAUUUUUUGUUAUUUAGGUAACGAUUUCUGUGAAAGUUUGUCAUGGAGGUUUACAUAUUCUUACAAUUAUCAAUUUCUGGUUCUAGAUUUUGAAACUGAAAGUUUGUCAUGGAGGUGGCGUACUACUACUACUACUACUGUUGAGGGUUGCUACAGGUUGGGUUAUGAUGACGUGGAAAAAGGAGAAGACUUUGUUUCUGAUGAAUUCCGGUGAUUUUCGAAGAUUGGAAGAUUGCAAUCCGGCCAUUUCAUCUUGUUUAGUAAGAUUUGUAGUUUAGAUUACUUUUUAUUGUUUCUUAUUCGUUUUUAGCCAUGUCCUUAGAUUUCAGUUUCGUUCGACUCGACUAAUAUUGUUGUAUUGUAAUCAUUAUGCUUUAUUUUUUAUUAUGAUUAUGUCUAGUUUUAUUAGUUUUAUUCUUAAUAAAAUGUUUGAUUUUUAUUCGGCUCUUA